rfam:Mus musculus chromosome 7, GRC primary reference assembly.
GGGUCAAUGAUGACAACACAAUGUCAUGAAGAAAGGUGAUGACAUAAAAGUCAUGCUCAAUAGGAUUACGCUGAGGCCC